GUGGUCGUAGCUCAAUUGGUAGAGCACUGGCUUGUGGAGCCAGCGAUUUGCGGGUUCGAUCCCCGUCGACCACCCA
rnacentral:tRNA from 1 species